GUAAAAGGGGAGAAAUAUGAAAAAAUAUGUAAAAGAAAUCAAUGGAAAUAAAUAAAAAGAUAAACUCUUAAAAACACACACAAAUUUGUUCUAAGUGGAUUCGGUACCUCGAGGCUCAUUAUCUCUCUUUUGGGGCUUCUAAUGGAGUAAUCUCCAGAAUCUAUUCAAGGGAUAUUCGGAGAUUAGCUGAAUCCUACUCAAGAACAAAUUGACAGAUUUUCCCUCUAAAAACAAAAAAUUCAGUUCAAAAACUUCAAAGCAUUAAAAGGAAAUUCAGAGAAUCAAAACAUAGUUGAAUGCAUAUGUUGAGGGGGAGAAUCUAAAUUUUAAUCAAACUAAAUCAUUAAUGACAUAUAAGCCACACAAUUGAUUGCAUAAUAUGAAGGCUUAUAUAAUUCCAAAUGAAAGGGGGAGCUUUAACUCCGAAAUUUAAUGUUUCACUCCUUUCAAACUUGGAUAAAUUAAAUUAUCAGACAUUUGAAUUCAUUUAUGGAUUUUAUUU
rnacentral:lncRNA from 1 species